rnacentral:rRNA from 1 species
UACGGGGGGGCAAGCGUUGUUCGGAAUUACUGGGCGUAAAGGGCGCGUAGGUGGCCCGUUAAGUGGCUGGUGAAAUCCCGGGGCUCAACUCCGGGGCUGCUGGUCAGACUGGCGAGCUAGAGCACGGUAGGGGCAGAUGGAAUUCCCGGUGUAGCGGUGGAAUGCGUAGAGAUCGGGAAGAAUACCAGUGGCGAAGGCGUUCUGCUGGGCCGUUGCUGACACUGAGGCGCGACAGCGUGGGGAGCAAACAGG